rnacentral:miRNA from 1 species
AUAUUUAAGAUGGAAUAA